rnacentral:SRP_RNA from 1 species
GUAUGCGACGCCAGCAGCUCGGGACAUCGCGCGCCGG